rnacentral:rRNA from 1 species
AUACGUAGGUGGCAAGCGUUAUCCGGAUUUACUGGGUGUAAAGGGCGUGUAGGCGGGACUGCAAGUCAGAUGUGAAAUCCAGGGGCUCAACCCUUGGCCUGCAUUUGAAACUGUGGUUCUUGAGUGAUGGAGAGGCAGGCGGAAUUCCGAGUGUAGCGGUGAAAUGCGUAGAUAUUCGGAGGAACACCAGUGGCGAAGGCGACUUGCUGGACAUUAACUGACGCUGAGGCGCGAAAGCGUGGGGAGC